CCCAGGUUUUCACUUGAUCCAGAGAGAGGUUUCAAGAACAGCGGACAGGCCACACCCUUCCAUUCAGAACGGAGAGCCUGGCGUGGGAUUUCCAAAACUCCGAGUAACUUUCCCAACUUCAAUGUGUGGAUUUGGGUCUAUGUCGUACUACCUCAAAACGUCUCCAGUCUCUGGCUGUUUGUGACUUCCCAGGAGCUCAUGAAAAUAGAUCAGAAAUUGUAGAACAUUAGACUGAGCCACUAAUUUCUCAAUGUAUACUCAAUGGGGUGGUUUACCUCACGCUUCAGGAAUAAUAAUAACAAAUCAAUAACCCCAUUUCAUCCCAAUGCGCUGGAAGCACCCCUUGCCACGCCCUCUCUUCAGGACGUCUCCACGACGCCACACGCCACGCCCUCUCUCCGGGACGCAGCAGCCUGCCCCUUCCAUUUGGUAAUGUCCUUGAUAUAUGAAGUCUGCUAAAUGUGCCCCGGCAUCAUCCAGCAGCAAGGCAGAAAAGAACGAAGAGAAAAAAGAAGAGAGAAAAGCUACCUAAAACACGAGGAGGAAGUACUGAAGGAAGCUGCCUCUAAAGACGGGGUGCCAUGGUCCCAGCAGGCCUGACCCCUCCCUGCAGGGCUCCAGGGCUGGGUAUCUUGGAGCAACGCUAUCAGGGGGCCUUAGCUUCGGCCCUGGAGGGGAGAGGGUGCUUGGAGCUGAGGAAAAGUCGGUCCCAGCAGGCUGCAGACCAUGCCUCCUGAGACCAUGUGAAGCCCCCAUCUUGCAGAAAGAAUCCUCUCCAAGCUCCGGGAACUCAAGGGGGGCUUAUAAGUAAAGAGAGUUGCUUGUCUGCAGCCUCCGGUGGGCAGCCGGGGGCUGCCCCUGUGAGCCUGCUCAUGUGCCCCCCACCCGAAGCAUUUCGUUUGCCCUCACAAGUGGGCCGGCCACACGUAGGCUGAGGGCUUCUCUGGGGCACUGGAAGAUACAAUGUUCACAAACUUUCACCCAAAUUCAGUGGUGAUGAGAGCUGUAGGGAACGUCCCAAAGCCCGGUCAGUGAGUGACCUUGCACUUGCAGCAUCCAGGUGAAGGCAGGAAGUCACUGGGGUCUCCGAUGGAGCACAGGAGCACUCUGCAGGCCUGGGCCAGCGUGGGUCGCAUGGGAUGGCAGAGGGGACACAUGGACCCAACAAAAAGGCAGUCUCCAGUACAGCCUGUAAACUUGAAUCUGCGGGAAAUUCUAAGAAUAAAAGUUAAGCACUCUAAGCUAUGUAUUUCAUUCCGUGCGGGCCCACGUGACAGGUUAUUCCCAGGCUUUUGAUGGAGAGGUGUGAUGCAAGCCCUUGGAAAUGAGCCUUUACAUCGUCCGCACAAACACAGUGAGGGAGGUGGAGAGGGUUCUGGAGGGAAUACUGUGGGGCUCCCCA
rnacentral:lncRNA from 1 species